AUGGCCCCCCCUCUCUUCCUCUGCUCCGAAGUUGCUAGCUCGCGAGCGCCAAGGCAACCACGACCACUCUAUCUUAGGGAGAUCGAUGCGUUCGGCUUGUUCCACUUGGGAGUUUAUCCUCCUUCACAUUCCAUUUCACUUUCCUUUGCUCCCUCUUCCACAUUACGGAGGAAAUUUCGUUCUUUUCCCUUCUCCUCGGAUGAAAUUUGUUCUGUUCCCUUCUCCUCUGUAGGAAAUUUGUUUGGUUCCCUUUACUUGAGGGUGGGCCCGGCGACGGCGGCGCGCGGCGGAAGGAGCGGCCGGCGGCGGCGCGCGCCGGAUGGGUGGUGGCCGGCGGUUGCGGCGCGCGAUGGAUGGAUGGGAGGCAAGGUCGUGGGUCUCGGUGGAGGGUGUUUAUUGCUAGCAGCUAGCUCAGAGUCGUCGCUGCUUCUUGCUGCGUCCUACUAUGCUAGUCACCGCUCAUUUGGUCUUGUCUCAAAUACCUAUGCGACGACGGCAAGCGAUUGCAUUCCCCAUGCACCACCUGCGAUGGCGUUCCAGGCGCUCACCUUCUCGCCCUUCCCCCUCCAUCUCGCCGUCACGCGGCGCCGGGUCCACGUGCUCGUCGUGGCUGUGGCCGCGGACCAGACCCCUCCGCCCCCACAGGCCUCCCCCUCCGAGCCGGCGAACAGCCUGAGCCGGCUCCUCCGGGAGCUCGGGCAGCGGAAGAAGGUUGCGGAGAGAAGCUACUGGACGAGCCGAGGAAGGACGACGACCGGACCUAGGCCCCCAUCAGUGACGGCUCCCGCUGCUGGUGGUGGCGCGGCGGUACCCUCCACAGCUGGGCGGCCCGGCGCGGCGGCUCCCGCAGCAGCUUGGCGGCUCGGCCGGGCGGCUCUUGCUGCUGACGGCGCGGCGGACCGGUGGCUCCCGCUGCAACUCGGAGCUGCCGAUGGCACCCUCGUUGCUCCAGCUGAUGCCGAUGAGCAUUUUCUAACUAUAACCAGAGAUGAUUUUGAGUUCCAUCUUUUCCUGGAUCUCCUCUAA
rnacentral:rRNA from 1 species